rnacentral:rRNA from 1 species
GGGUUGUGAGGUUAAGCGACUAAGCGUACACGGUGGAUGCCCUGGCAGUCAGAGGCGAUGAAGGACGUGCUAAUCUGCGAUAAGCGUCGGUAAGGUGAUAUGAACCGUUAUAACCGGCGAUUUCCGAAUGGGGAAACCCAGUGUGAUUCGUCACACUAUCAUUAACUGAAUCCAUAGGUUAAUGAGGCGAACCGGGGGAACUGAAACAUCUAAGUACCCCGAGGAAAAGAAAUCAACCGAGAUUCCCCCAGUAGCGGCGAGCGAACGGGGAGCAGCCCAGAGCCUGAAUCAGUGUGUGUGUUAGUGGAAGCGUCUGGAAAGGCGCGCGAUACAGGGUGACAGCCCCGUACACAAAAAUGCACGCGCUGUGAGCUCGAUGAGUAGGGCGGGACACGUGGUAUCCUGUCUGAAUAUGGGGGGACCAUCCUCCAAGGCUAAAUACUCCUGACUGACCGAUAGUGAACCAGUACCGUGAGGGAAAGGCGAAAAGAACCCCGGCGAGGGGAGUGAAAAAGAACCUGAAACCGUGUACGUACAAGCAGUGGGAGCACGCUUAGGCGUGUGACUGCGUACCUUUUGUAUAAUGGGUCAGCGACUUAUAUUCUGUAGCAAGGUUAACCGAAUAGGGGAGCCGAAGGGAAACCGAGUCUUAACUGGGCGUUAAGUUGCAGGGUAUAGACCCGAAACCCGGUGAUCUAGCCAUGGGCAGGUUGAAGGUUGGGUAACACUAACUGGAGGACCGAACCGACUAAUGUUGAAAAAUUAGCGGAUGACUUGUGGCUGGGGGUGAAAGGCCAAUCAAACCGGGAGAUAGCUGGUUCUCCCCGAAAGCUAUUUAGGUAGCGCCUCGUGAAUUCAUCUCCGGGGGUAGAGCACUGUUUCGGCAAGGGGGUCAUCCCGACUUACCAACCCGAUGCAAACUGCGAAUACCGGAGAAUGUUAUCACGGGAGACACACGGCGGGUGCUAACGUCCGUCGUGAAGAGGGAAACAACCCAGACCGCCAGCUAAGGUCCCAAAGUCAUGGUUAAGUGGGAAACGAUGUGGGAAGGCCCAGACAGCCGGGAUGUUGGCUUAGAAGCAGCCAUCAUUUAAAGAAAGCGUAAUAGCUCACUGGUCGAGUCGGCCUGCGCGGAAGAUGUAACGGGGCUAAACCAUGCACCGAAGCUGCGGCAGCGACGCUUAUGCGUUGUUGGGUAGGGGAGCGUUCUGUAAGCCUGUGAAGGUGUACUGUGAGGUAUGCUGGAGGUAUCAGAAGUGCGAAUGCUGACAUAAGUAACGAUAAAGCGGGUGAAAAGCCCGCUCGCCGGAAGACCAAGGGUUCCUGUCCAACGUUAAUCGGGGCAGGGUGAGUCGACCCCUAAGGCGAGGCCGAAAGGCGUAGUCGAUGGGAAACAGGUUAAUAUUCCUGUACUUGGUGUUACUGCGAAGGGGGGACGGAGAAGGCUAUGUUGGCCGGGCGACGGUUGUCCCGGUUUAAGCGUGUAGGCUGGUUUUCCGGGCAAAUCCGGAAAAUCAAGGCUGAGGCGUGAUGACGAGGCACUACGGUGCUGAAGCAACAAAUGCCCUGCUUCCGGGGAAAAGCCUCUAAGCAUCAGGUAACAUCAAAUCGUACCCCAAACCGACACAGGUGGUCAGGUAGAGAAUACCAAGGCGCUUGAGAGAACUCGGGUGAAGGAACUAGGCAAAAUGGUGCCGUAACUUCGGGAGAAGGCACGCUGAUAUGUAGGUGAAGUCCCUCGCGGAUGGAGCUGAAAUCAGUCGAAGAUACCAGCUGGCUGCAACUGUUUAUUAAAAACACAGCACUGUGCAAACACGAAAGUGGACGUAUACGGUGUGACGCCUGCCCGGUGCCGGAAGGUUAAUUGAUGGGGUUAGCGCAAGCGAAGCUCUUGAUCGAAGCCCCGGUAAACGGCGGCCGUAACUAUAACGGUCCUAAGGUAGCGAAAUUCCUUGUCGGGUAAGUUCCGACCUGCACGAAUGGCGUAAUGAUGGCCGGGCUGUCUCCACCCGAGACUCAGUGAAAUUGAACUCGCUGUGAAGAUGCAGUGUACCCGCGGCAAGACGGAAAGACCCCGUGAACCUUUACUAUAGCUUGACACUGAACAUUGAGCCUUGAUGUGUAGGAUAGGUGGGAGGCUUUGAAGUGUGGACGCCAGUCUGCAUGGAGCCGACCUUGAAAUACCACCCUUUAAUGUUUGAUGUUCUAACGUUGACCCGUAAUCCGGGUUGCGGACAGUGUCUGGUGGGUAGUUUGACUGGGGCGGUCUCCUCCUAAAGAGUAACGGAGGAGCACGAAGGUUGGCUAAUCCUGGUCGGACAUCAGGAGGUUAGUGCAAUGGCAUAAGCCAGCUUGACUGCGAGCGUGACGGCGCGAGCAGGUGCGAAAGCAGGUCAUAGUGAUCCGGUGGUUCUGAAUGGAAGGGCCAUCGCUCAACGGAUAAAAGGUACUCCGGGGAUAACAGGCUGAUACCGCCCAAGAGUUCAUAUCGACGGCGGUGUUUGGCACCUCGAUGUCGGCUCAUCACAUCCUGGGGCUGAAGUAGGUCCCAAGGGUAUGGCUGUUCGCCAUUUAAAGUGGUACGCGAGCUGGGUUUAGAACGUCGUGAGACAGUUCGGUCCCUAUCUGCCGUGGGCGCUGGAGAACUGAGGGGGGCUGCUCCUAGUACGAGAGGACCGGAGUGGACGCAUCACUGGUGUUCGGGUUGUCAUGCCAAUGGCACUGCCCGGUAGCUAAAUGCGGAAGAGAUAAGUGCUGAAAGCAUCUAAGCACGAAACUUGCCCCGAGAUGAGUUCUCCCUGACUCCUUGAGAGUCCUGAAGGAACGUUGAAGACGACGACGUUGAUAGGCCGGGUGUGUAAGCGCAGCGAUGCGUUGAGCUAACCGGUACUAAUGAACCGUGAGGCUUAACCUUACAACGCCGAAGCUGUU